rnacentral:rRNA from 1 species
GAUGAACGCUGGCGGCGUGCCUAAUACAUGCAAGUCGAGCGAACAGAUGAGGAGCUUGCUCCUCUGACGUUAGCGGCGGACGGGUGAGUAACACGUGGAUAACCUACCUAUAAGACUGGGAUAACUUCGGGAAACCGGAGCUAAUACCGGAUAAUAUAUUGAACCGCAUGGUUCAAUAGUGAAAGACGGUUUUGCUGUCACUUAUAGAUGGAUCCGCGCCGCAUUAGCUAGUUGGUAAGGUAACGGCUUACCAAGGCAACGAUGCGUAGCCGACCUGAGAGGGUGAUCGGCCACACUGGAAGUGAGACACGGUCCAGACUCCUACGGGAGGCAGCAGUAGGGAAUCUUCCGCAAUGGGCGAAAGCCUGACGGAGCAACGCCGCGUGAGUGAUGAAGGUCUUCGGAUCGUAAAACUCUGUUAUUAGGGAAGAACAAAUGUGUAAGUAACUAUGCACGUCUUGACGGUACCUGAUCAGAAAGCCACGGCUAACUACGUG